UACAGAGGGUGCGAGCGUUAAUCGGAAUUACUGGGCGUAAAGCGUGCGUAGACGGUUAUUUAAGUCGGGUGUGAAAGCCCCGGGCUCAACCUGGGAAUUGCAUUCGAGACUGAAUAGCUAGGGUACGGUAGAGGGAAGUGGAAUUUCCGGUGUAGCGGUGAAAUGCGUAGAUAUCGGAAGGAACAUCAGUGGCGAAAGCGACUUCCUGGACCAGUACCGACGUUCAGGCACGAAAGCGUGGGGAGCAAACCAGGA
rnacentral:rRNA from 1 species